CGCGUAGGCGGAUGACAUAGUCAGAUGUGAAAUUCCUGGGCUCAACCUGGGGACUGCAUUUGAUACGUGUUGUCUUGAGUGUGGAAGAGGGUCGUGGAAUUCCCAGUGUAGAGGUGAAAUUCGUAGAUAUUGGGAAGAACACCGGUGGCGAAGGCGGCGACCUGGUCCAUAACUGACGCUGAGGCGCGAAAGCGUGGGGAGCAAACAGGAUUAGAUACCCUGGCAGUCCACGCUGUAAACGAUGUGCGCUGGAUGUUGGGUGACCUAGUCACUCAGUGUCGUAGCUAACGCGAUAAGCGCACCGCCUGGGGAGUACGGCCGCAAGGUUGAA
rnacentral:rRNA from 1 species